rnacentral:lncRNA from 1 species
UUCCAGUUGUGGAUAGAAGAAGGAGCACCCUUCAGUAACCCCUUCCUACCAAACUGAGGAGAGAAGUACCACCAAUCCUUCACCGAGGGAUGACGCUUGAAGGUGUAGAAGUAUCUAAACAAGGAAAGGGUGGGCUGGACUUCGACUAUAUGACAAAAAGAGAGGAACCCUAUCAAAAACCUAAAUGAGUUCGGUGCAACCGAAGCCAGAGAAAUGUCAAGG